rnacentral:rRNA from 1 species
GACGAACGCUGGCGGCGUGCUUAACACAUGCAAGUCGAACGGAAAGGCCCUGCUUUUGUGGGGUGCUCGAGUGGCGAACGGGUGGGUAACACGUGAGUAACCUGCCCUUGACUUUGGGAUAACUUCAGGAAACUGGGGCUAAUACCGGAUAGGAGCUCCUGCUGCAUGGUGGGGGUUGGAAAGUUUCGGCGGUUGGGGAUGGACUCGCGGCUUAUCAGCUUGUUGGUGGGGUAGUGGCUUACCAAGGCUUUGACGGGUAGCCGGCCUGAGAGGGUGACCGGCCACAUUGGGACUGAGAUACGGCCCAGACUCCUACGGGAGGCAGCGGUGGGGAAUAUUGCACAAUGGGCGGAAGCCUGAUGCAGCAACGCCGCGUGCGGGAUGACGGCCUUCGGGUUGUAAACCGCUUUCGCCUGUGACGAAGCGUGAGUGACGGUAAUGGGUAAAGAAGCACCGGCUAACUACGUG